UUUUUAAAAAUGUUUUCAUUUUUGAUGAGACGCUGAAUAAAAGAAGUUUAAUCGCCGGCAAACGAAAACCCGCGACUUCCCGUAAAUCCCGGACUCGGCCCGUGUAGUCAAAAGUAUACAAAGAAAGUACCCAGGGAGUAAACUCAUUUCCCGAACGAAUUUUUAAAUUAUUUUUUCACCACUAAAACGCAUGAGAUUUGUAGUUUUCAGAAAUGUUUUCAUUUUUGAUGAGACGCUUAAUAAAAGUGGUUUAAUCGCCGGUAAACGAAAACCCGCGAUUUCCCGUAAAUCCCGGGUUUGGCCCGUAUAGUCAAAUGUAUACAAAGAAAGUACCCUGUGAGUAAACUCAUUUCCAAAACGAUUUUUUAAAGUAUCUUUUUACCACUAAAACGCAUGAGACUUGUAGUUUUCAAAAAUGUUUUCAUUUUUGAUGAGACGCUGAAUAAAAGAAGUUUAAUCGCCGACAAACGAAAACCCGCCAUUUCCCGUAAACCCCGGACUCGGCCCGUAUAGUCAAAAGUAUACAAAAAAGCACCCAGGGAGUAAACUCAUUUCCCGAACGAUUUUUUAUAUUAUUUUUUCACCACUAAAACGCAUGAGACUUGUAGUUUUCAAAAAUGUUUUCAUUUUUGAUGAGACGCUUAAUGAAAGAGGUUUAAUCGACGGCAAACAAAAACCCGCGAUUUCACGUAAAUCCAGGGUUUGGCCCGCAUAGUCGAAUGUAUACAAAGAAAGUACCCAGGGAGUAAACUAAUUUCCCGAACGAUUUUUUAAAUUAUUUUUUCACCACUAAAACGCAUGAGACUUGUAGUUUUCAAAAAUGUUUUCAUUUUUGAUGGGACGCUAAAUAAAAGAGGUUUAAUCGACGGCAAACAAAAACCCGCGAUUUCACGUAAAUCCAGGGUUUGGCCCGCAUAGUCGAAUGUAUACAAAGAAAGUACCCAGGGAGUAAACUAAUUUCCCGAACGAUUUUUUAAAUUUUUUUUUCACCACUAAAACGCAUGAGACUUGUAGUUUUCAAAAAUGUUUUCAUUUUUGAUGGGACGCUAAAUAAAAGAGGUUUAAUCGACGGCAAACAAAAACCCGCGAUUUCACGUAAAUCCAGGGUUUGGCCCGCAUAGUCGAAUGUAUACAAAGAAAGUACCCAGGGAGUAAACUAAUUUCCCGAACGAUUUUUUAAAUUUUUUUUUCACCACUAAAACGCAUGAGACUUGUAGUUUUCAAAAAUGUUUUCAUUUUUGAUGGGACGCUAAAUAAAAGAAGUUUAAUCGCCGGCAAACGAAAACCCGCGAUUUCCCGUAAAUCCCGGACUCGGCCCGUAUAGUCAAAAGUAUACAAAGAAAGUACCCAGGGAGUAAACUCAUUUCCCGAACGAUUUUUUAUAUUAUUUUUUCACCACUAAAACGCAUGAGACUUGUAGUUUUCAAAAAUGUUUUCAUUUUUGAUGAGACGCUUAAUGAAAGAGGUUUAAUCGACGGCAAACAAAAACCCGCGAUUUCACGUAAAUCCAGGGUUUGGCCCGCAUAGUCGAAUGUAUACAAAGAAAGUACCCAGGGAGUAAACUAAUUUCCCGAACGAUUUUUUAAAUUAUUUUUUCACCACUAAAACGCAUGAGACUUGUAGUUUUCAAAAAUGUUUUCAUUUUUGAUGGGACGCUAAAUAAAAGAGGUUUAAUCGACGGCAAACAAAAACCCGCGAUUUCACGUAAAUCCAGGGUUUGGCCCGCAUAGUCGAAUGUAUACAAAGAAAGUACCCAGGGAGUAAACUAAUUUCCCGAACGAUUUUUUAAAUUUUUUUUUCACCACUAAAACGCAUGAGACUUGUAGUUUUCAAAAAUGUUUUCAUUUUUGAUGGGACGCUAAAUAAAAGAAGUUUAAUCGCCGGCAAACGAAAACCCGCGAUUUCCCGUAAAUCCCGGACUCGGCCCGUAUAGUCAAAAGUAUACAAAGAAAGUACCCAGGGAGUAAACUAAUUUCCCGAACGAUUAUUUAAAUUAUUUUUUCACCACUAAAACGCAUGAGACUUGUAGUUUUCAAAAAUGUUUUCAUUUUUGAUGGGACGCUAAAUAAAAGAGGUUUAAUCGACGGCAAACAAAAACCCGCGAUUUCACGUAAAUCCAGGGUUUGGCCCGCAUAGUCGAAUGUAUACAAAGAAAGUACCCAGGGAGUAAACUAAUUUCCCGAACGAUUUUUUAAAUUUUUUUUUCACCACUAAAACGCAUGAGACUUGUAGUUUUCAAAAAUGUUUUCAUUUUUGAUGGGACGCUAAAUAAAAGAAGUUUAAUCGCCGGCAAACGAAAACCCGCGAUUUCCCGUAAAUCCCGGACUCGGCCCGUAUAGUCAAAAGUAUACAAAGAAAGUACCCAGGGAGUAAACUCAUUUUCCGAACGAUUUUUUAAAUUAUUUUUUCACCACUGAAAGGCAUGAGACUUGUAGUUUUCAAAAAUGGUUUCAUUUUUGAUGAGACGCUUAAUAAAAGAGGUUUAAUCGCCGGCAAACGAAAACCCGCGAUUUCCCGUUAAUCCCGAGCUUGGCCCGUAUAGUCGAAUGUAUAAAAAGAAAGUACCCAGGAAGUAAACUCAUUUCCCGAAUGAUUUUUUAAAUUUUUUUUUCACCACUAAAACGCAUGAGACUUGUAGUUUUCAAAAAUGUUUUCAUUUUUGAUGACACGCUUAAUGAAAGAGGUUUAAUCGCCGGCAAACGAAAACCCGCGAUUUCCCUUAAAUCCCGGGCUUGGCCCGUAGAGUCGAAUGUAUACAAAGAAAGUACCCUGUGAGUAAACUCAUUUCCAGAACGAUUUUUUAAAUUAUUUUUUCACCACUGAAAGGCAUGAGACUUGUAGUUUUCAAAAAUGGUUUCAUUUUUGAUGAGACGCUUAAUAAAAGAGGUUUAAUCGCCGGCAAACGAAAACCCGCGAUUUCCCGUUAAUCCCGAGCUUGGCCCGUAUAGUCGAAUGUAUAAAAAGAAAGUACCCAGGAAGUAAACUCAUUUCCCGAAUGAUUUUUUAAAUUUUUUUUUCACCACUAAAACGCAUGAGACUUGUAGUUUUCAAAAAUGUUUUCAUUUUUGAUGACACGCUUAAUGAAAGAGGUUUAAUCGCCGGCAAACGAAAACCCGCGAUUUCCCUUAAAUCCCGGGCUUGGCCCGUAGAGUCGAAUGUAUACAAAGAAAGUACCCUGUGAGUAAACUCAUUUCCAGAACGAUUUUUUAAAUUAUUUUUUCACCACUAAAACGCAUAAGACUUGUAGGUUUCAAAAAAGUUUUCAUUUUUGAUCAGACGCUGAAUAAAAGAAGUUUAAUCGCCGGCAAACGAAAACCCGCGAUUUCCCGUCAAUCCCGAGCUUGGCCCGUAUAGUCGAAUGUAUAAAAAGAAAGUACCCAGGAAGUAAACUCAUUUCCCGAAUGAUUUUUUAAAUUUUUUUUUCACCACUAAAACGCAUGAGACUUGUAGUUUUCAAAAAUGUUUUCAUUUUUGAUGACACGCUUAAUGAAAGAGGUUUAAUCGCCGGCAAACGAAAACCCGCGAUUUCCCUUAAAUCCCGGGCUUGGCCCGUAGAGUCGAAUGUAUACAAAGAAAGUACCCUGUGAGUAAACUCAUUUCCAGAACGAUUUUUUAAAUUAUUUUUUCACCACUAAAACGCAUAAGACUUGUAGGUUUCAAAAAAGUUUUCAUUUUUGAUCAGACGCUGAAUAAAAGAAGUUUAAUCGCCGGCAAACGAAAACUCGUGAUUUCCCGUAAAUCCCGGGCUUGGCCGGUAUAGUCAAAAGUAUACAAAGAAAGUACCCAGGGAGUAAACUCAUUUCCUGAACGAUUUUUUAAAUUAUUUUUUUACCACUAAAACGCAUGAGACUUGUAGUUUUCAAAAAUGUUUUCAUUUUUGAUGAGACGCUGAAUAAAAGAAGUUUAAUCGCCGGCAAACGAAAACCCGCCAUUUCCCGUAAACCCCGGACUCGGCACGUAUAGUCAAAAGUAUACAAAGAAAGUACCCAAGGAGUAAACUCAUUUCCCGAACGAUUUUUUAUAUUAUUUUUUCAGCACUAAAACGCAUAAGACUUUUAGUUUUCAAAAAUGUUUUUUAUUUUUGAUGGGACGCUGAAUAAAAGAAGUUUAAUCGCCGGCAAACGAAAACCCUCGAUUUCCCGUAAAUCCCGUGCUUGGCCUGCAUAGUCGAAUGUAUACAAAGAAAGUACCCAGGGAGUAAACUCAUUUCCUGAACGAUUUUUUAAAUUUUUUUUUCACCACUAAAACGCAUGAGACUUGUAGUUUUUGAAAAUGUUUUCAUUUUUGAUGAGACGCUGAAUAAAAGAAGUUUUAUCGCUGGCAAACGAAAACCCGCGACUUCCGGUAAAUCCCGGACUCGGCCCGUAUAGUCAAAAGUAUACAAAGAAAGUACCCAGGGAGUAAACUCAUUUCCCGAACAAUUUUUUAAAUUAUUUUUUCACCACUAAAACGCAUGAGACCUGUAGUUUUCAAAAAUGUUUUCAUUUUUGAUGGGACGCUGAAUAAAAGAAGUUUAAUCGCCGGCAAACGAAAACCCGCGAUUUCCCGUAAAUCCCGGACUCGGCCCGUAUAGUGAAAAGUAUACAAAGAAAGUACCCUGUGAGUAAACUCAUUUCCAAAACGAUUUUUUAAAGUAUCUUUUCACCACUAAAACGCAUGAGACUUGUAGUUUUCAAAAAUGUUUUCAUUUUUGAUGAGACGCUGAAUAAAAGAAGUUUAAUCGCCGGCAAACGAAAACCCGCCAUUUCCCGUAAACCCCAGACUCCGCCCGUAUAGUCAAAAGUAUACAAAGAAAGUACCCAGGGAGUAAACUCAUUUCCCGAACGAUUUUUUAUAUUAUUUUUUCACCACUAAAACGCAUGAGACUUUUAGUUUUCAAAAAAGUUUUCAUUUUUGAUGGGACGCUGAAUAAAAGAAGUUUAAUCGCCGGCAAACGAAAACCCUCGAUUUCCCGUAAAUCCCGGGCUUGGCCCGCAUAGUCAAAUGUAUACAAAGAAAGGACCCAGGGAGUAAACUAAUUUCCCGAACGAUUUUUUAUAUUUUUUUUCACCACUAAAACGCAUGAGACUUGUAGUUUUUAAAAAUGUUUUCAUUUUUGAUGAGACGCUGAAUAAAAGAAGUUUAAUCGCCGGCAAACGAAAACCCGCGACUUCCCGUAAAUCCCGGACUCGGCCCGUGUAGUCAAAAGUAUACAAAGAAAGUACCCAGGGAGUAAACUCAUUUCCCGAACGAAUUUUUAAAUUAUUUUUUCACCACUAAAACGCAUGAGACUUGUAGUUUUCAAAAAUGUUUUCAUUUUUGAUGAGACGCUUAAUGAAAGAGGUUUAAUCGACGGCAAACAAAAACCCGCGAUUUCACGUAAAUCCAGGGUUUGGCCCGCAUAGUCGAAUGUAUACAAAGAAAGUACCCAGGGAGUAAACUAAUUUCCCGAACGAUUUUUUAAAUUAAUUUAUCACCACUAAAACGCAUGAGACUUGUAGUUUUCAAAAAUGUUUUCAUUUUUGAUGGGACGCUAAAUAAAAGAAGUUUAAUCGCCGGCAAACGAAAACCCGCGAUUUCCCGUAAAUCCCGGACUCGGCCCGUAUAGUCAAAAGUAUACAAAGAAAGUACCCAGGGAGUAAACUCAUUUCCCGAACGAUUUUUUAAAUUAUUUUUUCACCACUGAAAGGCAUGAGACUUGUAGUUUUCAAAAAUGGUUUCAUUUUUGAUGAGACGCUUAAUAAAAGAGGUUUAAUCGCCGGCAAACGAAAACCCGCGAUUUCCCGUCAAUCCCGAGCUUGGCCCGUAUAGUCGAAUGUAUAAAAAGAAAGUACCCAGGAAGUAAACUCAUUUCCCGAAUGAUUUUUUAAAUUUUUUUUUCACCACUAAAACGCAUGAGACUUGUAGUUUUCAAAAAUGUUUUCAUUUUUGAUGACACGCUUAAUGAAAGAGGUUUAAUCGCCGGCAAACGAAAACCCGCGAUUUCCCUUAAAUCCCGGGCUUGGCCCGUAGAGUCGAAUGUAUACAAAGAAAGUACCCUGUGAGUAAACUCAUUUCCAGAACGAUUUUUUAAAUUAUUUUUUCACCACUAAAAC